rnacentral:rRNA from 1 species
UACGUAGGGGGCAAGCGUUGUCCGGAAUUAUUGGGCGUAAAGCGCGCGCAGGCGGUUGUUUAAGUCUGGGGUUUAAGUUCGGGGCUCAACCCCGUAUCGCCCUGGAAACUGGGGAACUGGAGUGUAGGAGAGGAAAGUGGAAUUCCACGUGUAGCGGUGAAAUGCGUAGAGAUCAGGAGGAACACCCGUGGCGAAGGCGGCCCUCUGGCUCGACCCUGACGCUGAGGCGCGAAAGCGUGGGGAGCGAACGGG